rnacentral:ncRNA from 2 species
UAACAGUUGCAUGACUGGCGGAAUUAUUUGUGGAGUACCACAGAGGAUUGUAACUGUUUAACGCCGACCGCCUGGGCAAAUAAC